rnacentral:tRNA from 1 species
AAAGCUUUAAGUUAAUUAAACUAUUAGCCUUCAAAGCUGAAAAUAAACUUUGUUUAAGCUUUA